CCCCACCCCCUGUGUAGUUUCGUACAGCUUUGUAAAUAAAUGGCUUUCUUUGCCUUUGCCCCUCACCACCAGUGGUACCGCAACUGAGCUUCAUUUAGGAUGAGAUAGGAGGAGGAGUCAGAGAUGAUAAUGGUGAUGAUGAUGAUAAUAAUAACGGCAGCUAACACUUAGACAGCGCUUACUAGAUGUCUGACAGUUUUCUGGGCUUUUAUAUGUAUAUAAUCUCACAAUCCUCACAACAACCCAGACGGUAGGCACUCUUAUUAUCCCAUUUUGCAGACAAGGGAACCGAAGUAUAAACUUGCCUAAGGCCACACAGAUAAUGAGUUGGGGAAUAGGGACUUGAAUUCAAGCAGUUUGCUCCCAGAGUCCAAGAUUUUAGCCACUGUACUCUACUGCUUCUCGACACUUCCAAACUAGGAUAUGAGCCUAGGAUGGUGCUUCUCAAACUGCGGGUUUGGUUCCCUGGCCUGUGAGAGCAGCUUAGUGAGUGCCACCCAAGGUUAAUGUUUAAAAAAUGGGCUAGAAUAGAAAACAAAAUAUCAAAGCGAUCACAGGCAAUAAUGGAAGUAUUGUUCUAUGGAAAUUGUGUUUCAAUUUUAUAUUUGAGUAUGUGUGUUCUGGGUCACAACAUCAAAUGUAUUUCUUAGUGGGGGUUGCAGUCACUUUGAAAGUCAUUGCCCUGGGAUGAGCCCAGAGACCAGAGCUCCAGUCCAAGGGGCUUUAGGAAGCUGCUGUGCUCGAGAAAGUGAGAGGCUGUGGCCAUGCCAUCCAGAACUGCCUGCUUCUGAGAAGAAAGGAGACCAGUGGCCUCAACUGAGGGUCCUUCCUCACAAAUUUACCCCACCAGUGCCUCCAUCCUUCCUUUGCAAUGCCCAAGGCCAGGAGGAAGGUUCAUUCCCACCACUCUCUUUGACCAAGCGCCGGCAUUUACCAUUCAUGCCCUGAUAACCUGCACUGACUCACGCCUCCAUCCUUCGUGCAUGCAGUGUCCUUGUGUAGGUUGCUCUUCCCUGCCUGGUUGAAUUAGUUCCUACACAUUCUUCUAAACUCAGCUCAGAUAUUAAGUUCCUUGACUCCACCAAUAUUUCUGUACCUCUUAUAUGCUUUCAUUACUGUGAAAUUGUUUGUUUACCUGUCUCUCUCAUCUAUUAGGCUUGAAGUUUGUUUGUUUGUUUUUUUUGCUGGGGAAGAUUCACCCUGAGCCAACAUCCAUGCCACUUUUUUUGUAUGGCCACAGCAUGGCCACUGACAGGCGGUGGCGGCUCCGGGAUCCUGUACAGGAUGGGAUUAGGGGCAGCAGCCCAGUUGAAAGAAAGGCCAGGGUUCUUGUCCAGAAGCUUCAUUUGUGUCGCACUUUCCCGGAGCACUGAAUAUAACCCAGAAAAUACUAUCAACUGCGCAUAUCAAAAAACUGAGGCGGCUGAUCCAGAUUAUGGAGGAGACUAAGACCCAUCACCAAGACGCUCCCUGGGUCCCCAGAUCCCCAGCUCCUGACACUGAAAACUGAAAUCUUGCAUUAUAUGCUCAGCGCGAGGCCAGCUUCCACACAUUAAAAAGCAGUUCCAAGAUUGAAAGAGUCUACAAAACAGAGACACACAUGUGGGGCACUCCUGAAACGACCAAGGCAGUGGUUCUUCAAUUUUCGAUUAAUAUCAAAAUCCCUCUGAGAAUGUGUUACAAUGUUCAUUUCUUUGCUUUGGAUGUUUGUAAGUGAAAAUAAAUGACCAGCCUUAUUAUCAAAGAAAUAUCUUUUGAGGAUGUUGCCUCGGAACCUACAUUUUGACAAGCUGUCCCCUGGGUUUUAGGUUUAGGUUUUAACCAUUCUCCGGGUGAAUCACGACUACAGUUUGAGGAGUUCUGUCCAAUUGAGAACUAAAGCACUGGCAGGAUCUCCAAGGGCAAGAGGAAGGAUAGGUUGCUGUCAGCUGGCGUCAUUGGAGAGGUUGUAACUAGGUAGACAGCACUGAGCGGAGCCUUUAAGGAUGAGCAGACCUUAGCAGAGAGAGAGAAGAGGCAGGCAGGAGGACCAGGCUGUUAAUGUGGGCGAGGGAGCCAUGAACUUUGCGCAGUCGCUGCAGCCACAGAAAUGAAUGAAUUCAUCUUCCAGGAAGGGUACAUGAAGAAAAGGGCUCUUGGGGUUCCCCUGACGAUGUGGCAAGGUGAGGAAGUUGGGCCAAUGAAGGGCAGAGUAACAAAGGCAUACUCUAAAUCCCACAAUCCCAAACCAGUGGUUUUCAAUGGGGCAAGUACCGCCCCCUAGAGGGCAUUUUGGAAACGUGCGGCAGCAAUUUUGGUUAACACAUGGAGCUGGCGCAGCGCUUUCUUUGGAGCUAGAUGUACACCAAGAGAACGUCCCACAUCACGCUCCACUUCUGAAUGUAAAUGAGAAACGUGUUUAUGACAUAAACACGAACUCUCUCCCACCUCCACCCCAGUGUAAAUAUACACUGACUUUUGCAGGAAUGCAGCUCCUGCGCUCUGCGGGUCUCUGGUCUUUGCUCCUUGAUCCAUCUCAGGCCUCUGUGCUCUCUCCUUGGCUUCUGAGUCCGAUUCCUCUCUGUUCAGUCCUCGGGCUUGACUCUUUUCUCCUACUCAGCAUCUUCUCGC
ensembl:lncRNA